rnacentral:rRNA from 1 species
CCUACGGGAGGCAGCAGUGGGGAAUAUUGGGCACUGGAGGCAACUCUGAACCAGCAACGCCGCGUGAAUGAUGAAGGUCUUCUGAUUGGAAAGUUCUGUGAUGUGGGAUGAACAGAAUGACGGUACCCCAAUCGCAAGCCACGGCUAACUACAUGCCAGCAGCCGCGUUAAUAAGUAGGUAGCAAGCUUUAUCCGGAAUGACUGGGCGUAAAGGGUGUGGAGGGGGUUUCGGAAGUUGGCGGUGUAAUUACAGGGCUAAACCUAGGCGCUAGCGUCAAAACUAUUAGACUAGAGUGCAGGAGGGGUAAGUGGAAUUCCUAGUGUAGCGGUGGAAUGCGUAGAUAUUAGGAGGAACACCAGGGGCGAAGGCGACUUACUGGACUGCAACUGACACUGAGGCACGAAAGCGUGGGGAGCAAACAGGAUUAGAUACCCUAGUAGUC